GGGCGCGGGCGGCCGAAAGGCGAAAGUGAGAUUUCGAGGGCCGGGUCUGGGGCCCUGCGGGCGCGCUGUGCUACGAUGUGUGGGGAGUACGGGGAGGCUGGAGAGGAGCCGGCCCCGGGCAGUGUGAGGUGCGGAAGCGCGGUCCAGACACUUUGUUGACGGGAGGCCAGUCCGCCAGAUCCGGGAGGUGGGGCCUCGUUCUGGACUGCUGUACGUAGUUUUAUUCCUGGUCGUUUUUUUCGACCGCCAAAUCGAGAGAUAAAGCUUUGGAUCAUGAGAGAUGGCGUCGUGUUGGGAAAAGAGCCUUCGUUACCUAAGUUUAAGCUUGGCUCAUAGACAUCCUCUACGAGUUUACACGUGUGUAAUAUGAAGGCAGUCGAUUAGGAGAUGUCUAAGAUCAUUACACCUCAAGUUUACGAGGGGAGGAAGACACGGGAAGGAUGCGUGGUCUGUGCCAGACUUUGUAGACGAUUCUCUGAAUGACCCUGAUUUAGCUCUUCUGGCCCUCUUAGAUUCAACUUGGAAGCAGGCAUAAAUAAUGAUUAUUGUCAGUAUGCUUCUCUCGGAAGGAAUAUUGUGAUGGGGGUUGUGGGUUCAUUUUUAGGUGUCUAAAGAACUUUCAGGACUUUUGAAAUGAUAGUGGAGCCCAUUGAACUCAGAAUUAUCCCUUUCUGGUCUAGUGGGAGUAUAGUGGCAUAAGGAAAAUGAAGCAAACAUCAAAGACAGAUGUACUGGCACAAGAUUAAAAGUAUGUCUCAGCUGACAUAGUUGCCAUUUUAAGACUGCUAAGUUUAGCUGAAUAUGCCUGGAUUUUUUUUUUUUUUUUUUUAGCAUUUUUUUCUUUUUAGCAUUGGCAUACCAUAUGAAAUGUGGGCAGUUGCCAGUACUCUACAGAGUACCAUGGCAGAAUUGGCAAUGACUAAAUCAAUUCAUUCAAACAAAAAUUCAUCAUGUGCCUACUGUGUGCAUAAUUUGUGGAAUCAAAGUCUCUGUUUCCAGGGGCUUUACAGUGUAAUAACUGCUAUAGUAAAUAUAUAUGCAGAGUGGUAACCAUCUGCCUAUUCCUCUCCUACAGUCGUUGCUGAGUCCAGUGUAGAACAAAGCACUGCAUUGUGUAUCUCACCACUACUGAUUUAGAUUUUAUAAUUUCAGCUGCAUCCCUCCCUCCUGCUUUGUAUAUUCUUCAGCAUCUUUUUCUCCCUUUCCACUUGAAUACUUUUUGCAGUCUUUAAAUCCCAGCCCAUUUCAUUAUAUGACUUUUAACUUAGAACUUCACAGUUUUCCAAGUGCUAGAAAUUUCCUGAGAUUUCCUUUUCUCCAGUAUCUAGGAAUGAGAAACUCACUGUUAAUAUGUGAGAUUAACGCUUCAUACAUAUUCUAGUUCCAAUACCCCUCUUUCUCAUCCAGUAAUUAUCUUUUCUGUUGUCAACCUUCUACAAAUUCUGGUUCCUUAACUAAUUCUUCUGUAGCUUUCAGUUGUUUCCUUCACAAGCAAACUUUCUUUCCUUAAAAACGAUUCUCCUGCCUCAGCCUCCCAAGUAGCUGGGAUUACAGGCAUGCACCAUCACACGCAGCUAAUUUUGUAUUUUUAGUGGAGACACGGUUUCUCCAUGUUGGUCAGGCUGAUCUCAAACUCCCGACUUCAGGUGAUUCCCCCGCCUCAGCUUCCCAAAGUGCUGGGAUUACAGGCCAGAGCCACUGUGCCUGGCCGUGAUUAACUUCUAGCCAAUGAAAUAUGAAUGGAAAUGAUGUGCUCAUUUUUAGGGUUAAUGAAGUCCUAUUCUCCCUUACUCUUUCUUCAUCAACCUGAUGCCUUUCAGCAUGGUGACCUUGAAAACUAUAUGUUGGAGAUGCCAAAGACAGAAAAGAGAAGAAGGAGUGGCUGAAACACUACUUGGAAGAGAGCCACCCCAAUUAGAUACACUCCUUUUUGGACUUCUUGUAAGAGACAAAAUUGAGAUUUGAGAAUUUAUAUGUAUAGGAGCUAGAAUGACCAUAGCUAGUCCAGAAAUUGGUACCAGAAGUGGAGUACUGCUAAGACAAUAACCUAAAAUAUGUUACAUCAGCUUAGUUAUGAUGUAGCAGGUGGUAGAGAAUGUGAUUUGGAGGCUGGAAAAAGGAGGCCCAUGUUUGCAGUGGCAAAGUAAUUAGUAAAACUGUCACCUGAAAUAAUUCAAAAUCAGAUCACCUAUUUAGAUUAGCUCCAGAGGAAAUGAUUGAAAAGAGCAAAAGUAAUACUACGUGUUGAAUUUUAUAUUUUACUUUUAGUGAGUUUUUACUAAAGAGAAACUCGGGACAUACUUGGCAGAAGUGAGAGUGUACACCAAUAUUUCUCAGGGAGGGUUGGAAAAGGUGACUUUUUAAGACUUCUAACAAUAUUAAAAAAAAAAAAAAAAAAAAAAAAAAAGCUAGAAGAGGUCUUGAGUAUAGUUACCAGUGAGAUUAAGUCCUGCAACAAAGAUCAGGAAAAGGGUUUGGUCUUUCCAUUCAAAGUCAUUAUUGUAGAUGGCUUCAGGAUAGCUAUGAUAAAGGUCUAAAGGAACUGGCAUAGGAGCAAGGAAGCAAAGCAGUAAAUUAGGCUUGAUAAUUAUGUAAGAAAGAACUUUGGGUGUAGUUACUAGAAGCAAAUCAAUCAGAAGACUACAUUUUUGGAGGAACUUUAUUACUAAUCAUACUAAAUCUGGUUCAGAUAUCAUUGUUUGGGUGUUAAAACAGAGGGUAACUGUCCAACCCCAAGCUUGCAUAAGUAGAAGAAUAGAGCAUUAAACCUUAACAGCUCUCCAGUACUCACAUGUGAUGUGGCCGUGGAGAAUGAUGAAAAAAAAGAACAUUUCAGAAGCUCAUAUCAGGAGCUGUACAAAGGAAUGGACAGGGAGUUUUUUCCUGAAGACUAGAAUUGGGGUCUCAUCAGAACUGUUUUCAGUCUCCAGGAGAUGGGCCACAAAAUGUUUAUGCAGUAUUUCCUCAUUAUUAUACAUGAAUAGUAUUGCUCAGUAUCAUUUUUCUUUUCUAAAUGAGAAAAUGUAUUAUAGUUACCUGUCUCUGAGUUACCACUGUAUAUUGGAUUUGUAGGGAUGGGGUGACAAUAAAGAUAAUUUGUUUUUUUAGUUCUUAGGUCACAUCUGUACCUAAUGAAGACAGCUGCGCAUUUUCUGAAAAUCCUAGACUUUGAGCCUGUUUCAGUAACUGGUUAAAACUUCAGAUUGUCUCCUUUGAGACAGGGUAUGUUCUGUGUGUGGAAAGACAGGUAAAAUACAUGUUUAGUGAUCAGAAUAGUAGAUUCUUGCAGAUACUAAAUUUUUCUGGCCACACAGCUAUAUUUCCAUGCUUCUCUUCCAAUUAGGUAUAUGGGUUAGGUGUGCUAAUUCGGUUCUAACCAGUGGAAUGUGAGUAGAAGUGAUGUGCUCCUAUUCCAGCUCUGGCCCAUGGAAACAUCACAUGAGCAAUCCAGUAUAUUACCACUCCCUACCAACUUGAGGCAGAUGAGCAAAUUUGCACUGGAAGCUAUGUGUUAAAGAUGGCGAAGCCACAAGGUAGGACUCCUGGAUUCCUGAAUCUUCACUUGGAGGAUACUUGCUUCCCAAUUAGAGACACUUGUGCUAGAGUUUCCUGACUCUUCACUUGGAGGAUACUUGCUUGCCAAUUAGAGACACUUGUGCUGCAGUUCAUAUGCAUUCUUUUGUGUUAGGCCACUGAGAUUUGAGAGCAUGUCCGAAUGUAGACCAGUCCCUCUUUCUGCAGAUGCAAUCGUUCAUUACCUAAUUCUGAUUUUUAUACCACAGGAUGUGUAUAAAAAUCAGGCUAGCCAAAGUAUCCUAUCAUUCAGCCAUAGUGAUUAGUUCAGGAAUGGGCAGAUUAACAAAACUGAAGUUAAUCAGAGAUAGUUUCACCAUUUGGGCUAGCACUAUCGAGAAAAAGGCACCUGCUUUUGAAAUAAUAAUUAAAAAAAAAAAAAA
ensembl:lncRNA